rnacentral:misc_RNA from 1 species
UUUCCGUAGGUGAACCUGCGGAAGGAUCAUUAUUGUAUAACCGAGGUGCGAGGGCUGUCGCUGACCCGAAAGGUCGUGCACGCCCGAGUGCCCUCACACGCAUCCAUCUCACCCCUAUGUGCACCACCGCGUGGGUCCCCCUUUGGCUUGUUCGGAGGGGGGCUUACGUUUUCACACAAACUUUGUAUGCAGUGUAGAAUGAAUUUUUUGUUUUUGCGAUCACGCAAUCAAUACAACUUUCAACAACGGAUCUCUUGGCUCUC